UAUCAAUUUCUCUUCAGAUCGAAUAAAUCUUUCGCCUUUUACUAAAGACUUCCAUGGAGAGGAACAAGUGAGGCUCACAGCAACUUUUUGAGGCCUUGCCCUGGCAAGGCU
ensembl:snRNA U5 U5 spliceosomal RNA